CUUUAUCUCAUGUCCAUCUACAAGCUACCAAUGGGUUGCCAAUAGAAUUGACUAGAUGAGGAGAGCAUUUCUUUGGAAAGGGAAAGGAAAGUGUGAAUGGAUUUAACUGCCUUAUGAGCUGGGAUAGAGUCUACAGAUCCAAACAGGAGGGGGGACUUGGCAUAAAGAACAUCAGAAACACGAACCAAGCUUUGUUAGCUAAAUGGGCAUGAAAAUUAAUGGCAGGUACAGGAACUACUUGGAGGAACCAGAUCAGUAGUUGUUAUUAUUCUAGAAGAAAGUUUGGCGUGAGGGUCCGUAAAAGUCUCGUUAAUCUAUCUCCUAUUUGGAAGGAUAUCUGCAAGGAUCUCUCAACCUUCUGGAAUUGCACGUCCUUCAGAUUGGGAGAUGACAGCCAUAUAUCAGAUUUCUGGGUUGGUACCACUUCUCUUACCUAUCUUUUUGAUGAUCUAUAUUCCUGUGCAGUGAAAGAGAACAUGUCCGUUACUUCACAGUGGUGUUGGAGAAUGCUUCGGUAGAAAAUCUCUUCUCGUGGCCCAUUGUCC
rnacentral:lncRNA from 1 species